GAAAUUUGGAUUAAUACCGCAUAACAUAUUUGAAUCGCAUGGUUUAAAUAUUAAAACUCCGGUGGUAUAAGAUGGGCAUGCGUAGCAUUAGUUUGUUGGUGAGGUAACGGCUCACCAAGACAAUGAUGCUUAGGGGGUCUGAGAGGAUAGUCCCCCACACUGGUACUGAGACACGGACCAGACUCCUACGGGAGGCAGCAGUGAGGAAUAUUGGUCAAUGGACGCAAGUCUGAACCAGCCAUGUCGCGUGCAGGAUGACGGCCCUAUGGGUUGUAAACUGCUUUUUUUACAGGAAUAAUUGUCGAUACGUGUAUCGAUUUGAAUGUACUGUAUGAAUAAGGAUCGGCUAACUCCGUGCCAGCAGCCGCGGUAAUACGGAGGAUUCGAGCGUUAUCCGGAUUUAUUGGGUUUAAAGGGUCCGUAGGCGGUUCUUUAAGUCAGUGGUGAAAUCCCAGAGCUCAACUCUGGAACUGCCAUUGAUACUGAUAUUCUUGAGUAUAGUUGUAGUGGGCGGAAUAUGUCAUGUAGCGGUGAAAUGCUUAGAUAUGACAUAGAACACCGAUCGCGAAGGCAGCUCACUAAACUAUAACUGACGCUCAGGCACGAAAGCGUGGGGAGCAAACAGGAUUAGAUACCCUGGUAGUCCACGCCGUAAACGAUGAUUACUCGAUGUUGGCAAUACACCGUCAGCGUCCAAGCGAAAGCGUUAAGUAAUCCACCUGGGGAGUACGAUCGCAAGGUUGAAACUCAAAGGAAUUGACGGGGGCCCGCACAAGCGGAGGAGCAUGUGGUUUAAUUCGAUGAUACGCGAGGAACCUUACCUGGGCUUAAAUGUUUAAUGACCUCCCGUGAAAACGGGAUUUCUUCGGACGGACUGCGAGGUGCUGCAUGGUUGUCGUCAGCUCGUGCCGUGAGGUGUCGGGUUAAGUCCCAUAACGAGCGCAACCCCUAUUCUUAGUUGCCAUCAGAUAAUGCUGGGGACUCUAAGGAAACUGCCUACGCAAGUAGUGAGGAAGGUGGGGAUGACGUCAAAUCAGCACGGCCCUUAUGUCCAGGGCUACACACGUGCUACAAUGGUCGGUACAGAGGGUCGCUACCUGGUGACAGGAUGCUAAUCUCAAAAACCGAUCUCAGUUCGGAUCGAAGUCUGCAACUCGACUUCGUGAAGCUGGAUUCGCUAGUAAUCGCAUAUCAGCAAUGGUGCGGUGAAUACGUUCCCGGGCCUUGUACACACCGCCCGUCAAGCCAUGGAAGCCGGGGGUGC
rnacentral:rRNA from 1 species